rnacentral:rRNA from 1 species
UACGUAGGGGGCUAGCGUUGUCCGGAAUCAUUGGGCGUAAAGCGCGCGUAGGCGGCCCGGUAAGUCCGCUGUAAAAGUCAAAGGCUCAACCUUUGAAUGUCAGUGGAUACUGCCGGGCUAGAGUCCGGAAGAGGCGAGUGGAACUCCUGGUGUAGCGGUGGAAUGCGCAGAUAUCAGGAAGAACACCGGUGGCGAAGGCGGCAUCCUGGACCGGUAUUGACGCUGAUGCGCGAAAGCCAGGGGAGCAAACGGG